AAGCGGAGGAAAAGAAACUAACAAGGAUUCCCCUAGUAACGGCGAGUGAAGCGGGAAAAGCUCAAAUUUGUAAUCUGGCACCUUCGGUGUCCGAGUUGUAAUCUCGAGAAGUGUUUUCCGCGUUGGACCGCACAUAAGUCUGUUGGAAUACAGCGUCAUAGUGGUGAGAACCCCGUAUAUGGUGCGGAUGCCCAAUGCUUUGUGAUAUACUUUCGAAGAGUCGAGUUGUUUGGGAAUGCAGCUCAAAUUGGGUGGUAAAUUCCAUCUAAAGCUAAAUAUUGGCGAGAGACCGAUAGCGAACAAGUACCGUGAGGGAAAGAUGAAAAGCACUUUGGAAAGAGAGUUAACAGUACGUGAAAUUGUUGGAAGGGAAACGCUUGAAGUCAGACUUGCAUUUUGGAGUUCAGCCGCAAGGUGUAUUCUUCAAUUCGCAGGCCAGCAUCAGUUUUCGGGGGUGGAAAAUCGUGGUUUGAAGGUAGCAGUUUCGGCUGUGUUAUAGCUUUCCACUGGAUUCACUUUUGGGGACUGAGGAACGCAGUACGCUUUUUGCAAGACUCUCGAGUUUUUCGUACUUAGGAUGCUGGUGGAAUGGCUUUAAACGACCCGUCUUGAA
rnacentral:rRNA from 1 species